rnacentral:lncRNA from 1 species
AUUAUUGUAGUCAACUGGGCGCACAUUGCUUGUAGUCAACACACCGAUAUACCAAUCAUCAAGUUUUAAUUUUUCACAGCUUGUAGUCAACACACCGAUUUAAAUAACAGCCAAACUUAGUUUAUUACAAUGUUCCACACAAUCACAAUAUACACCAUACAUUAUUUCACCAAUCACAAUAUAGAACUCUACAGGUAAAACUCUCAACAAUAUAGCACUCUAUAUCAAGGGCCAGCCAAGCCUACUACCAUGCAUGAGGCCACAACCAGCCCAAUAGCAUCAGCACCGUUGGAGCCCUGACCAACGUCCAAGCUUUAUCAAGCUUCCUGCAAAUCGCAUUUAGUGGCAAAGCAUCAAUAGAUGAAGUUGAAAAAUGAAUAUCUUAGGGGAAGCUACACUUGGCAUAUACACGGGCAGAGUUGGGUUUAAGUAACCAAGUCAUGUUUAAAAGAGUUAACUGAAGGAGUACAAUUAGCAUGUAACCAGGAAAACAUAUAGCUAGUACCUAUCUAUCAUCACAUAGAAGCCAAAUACUAUUAACUAAUAAUUAGUAGACAGCUACGUAAUGGCUACCACAAGCAAAAGUGACAACCGAAAGAAAAGGGGGGCUAGGAGGCAGUAAGGAGAAGCAAUCCACAACGAAGAAAUUAUGCAAAUAAUACAAUGAAAAUGGAAACAGAAGAAGAUUGCCUAUCUCUGUGUGUGUGUGUGUGUGUGUGUGUUGUACAUAGCUUAUUUCUUUAGCCAAUAUAGCUGCAGUAUUAGCACAAAUGCACAAGCAACAUAAGCAGUAGUAACUACUAACUAUUGGAUCAACAUGAGCAGCCAGCCAGCCACCAUCGGCAGUAGCAUAGAAGCAGCCAACAGCUAGCAGAAACAAAACUAGCACGGCAGCAAUGCAUUAGAGCAUUAACAGCAGCAGUGCAGCUAGAGGCCUAGAGUAUCAACAGCAGCAAUACAUCUAGAUUCUAGAGCAUCAACAGCAACAGUACAACUAGAGGCCUAGAGCAUUAGAGCAUUAACAGCAGCAUUAGAGCUAAAGGCCUAGAGCAUCAACAACAGCAGUACAGCUAGAUUCUAGAGCAGUAGAGCAUCAACAGCAGCAGUACAGCUAGAGGCCUAGCACUUUUCUUCCCGCACAUGACCAAGGCAAGGUGUUGAGCCAGCGCCUCUUGCUUCAGCGCGCAUAAUCGGCCUAUUAAGUGCGCCUUCUUGAACUUUUGCAACACAUGCUUGCAUAAACUCCUGGAAGGAAGGUGACAGCAUUUCAGAGUAAUCCAAUUCAAAAUCAGAAGGUGUGCUUUCUACUCAAUAUUAAAAGGGAUGCGCGUACCUCUAUGCUUUUGGCAUCUCAGUCGGAGGGGGCAAAAAAUAGGCCAGCAAAGUGAAGCCAUCUCUUGUUGCUUCAUGCAAAGCUACAGCCAGCCAGGAAGCAGCAGCACCAAGUUUCAUGUGAUGGCGCGGUGGAACCAGCAAAAUAUAUUGUCCUGCAGAGGCAUUCUUAUCACCAUACAAUUAUCACAACUAGUAAUUGCAAGAACAAGAAAGCUUAAACAAAGGUUAAAGCUUGGUAACAGCAGGUUAAUGACAACAGCAGUUUGACAACAGCAGCAGGUCAAUAACAACAUCAUUAAGUCCUGGGAGUGCUUUAAUUUAGUCCAUUUUUUAUCAACAACUUAUCCUAAGGACGACAUGCUAUCGAACUUUGGAAAAUACAGUAUGAAUAUGACAACAAUAGCAGCAAGUCCUACACUAAAAUAAGCAAUCAUGAUUUCUAACAAUAGCAAUCAUCAG